CGAAAUGCGAUAAGUAAUGUGAAUUGCAGAAUUCAGUGAAUCAUCUAAUCUUUGAACGCACCUUGCGCUCCUUGGUAUUCCGAGGAGCAUGCCUGUUUGAGUGUCAUGGAAUUCUCAACUCUAUUUGCUUUUGUGAAUAGAGCUUGGAUUUGGAGGUUUAUUGCUGGUACUUGUGAUCGGCUCCUCUUGAAUGCAUUAGCUCGAACCUUUGCGGAUCAGCUAUCGGUGUGAUAAUUGUCUACGCCGUUGCAGUGAAGCAUAUCAAUGGGCUCGGCUUCCAAUCGUCCUUUACUGGACAAUGACUUUGACCUUUGACCUCAAAUCAGGUAGGAUUACCCGCUGAACUUAAGC
rnacentral:misc_RNA from 1 species